GACGAACGCUGGCGGCGUGCUUAACACAUGCAAGUCGAACGGAAAGGCCCUGCUUUUGUGGGGUGCUCGAGUGGCGAACGGGUGAGUAACACGUGAGUAACCUGCCCUUGACUUUGGGAUAACUUCAGGAAACUGGGGCUAAUACCGGAUAGGAGCUCCUGCUGCAUGGUGGGGGUUGGAAAGUUUCGGCGGUUGGGGAUGGACUCGCAGCUUAUCAGCUUGUUGGUGGGGUAGUGGCUUACCAAGGCUUUGACGGGUAGCCGGCCUGAGAGGGUGACCGGCCACAUUGGGACUGAGAGACGGCCCAGACUCCUACGGGAGGCAGCAGUGGGGAAUAUUGCACAAUGGGCGGAAGCCUGAUGCAGCAACGCCGCGUGCGGGAUGACGGCCUUCGGGGUGUAAACCGCUUUCGCCUGUGACGAAGCGUGAGUGACGGUAAUGGGCAAAGAAGCACCGGCUAACUACGUG
rnacentral:rRNA from 1 species